UUUAACAGCCAUAUCAGCCAUAUCACCCUGCAGCCUAAGACUGGUCGCCCACUGAAGCUAAGCAGGGAUGAGCCUGGUCAGUACCUGGAUGGGAGACCUAUUGGGAAAAACUAGGUUGCUGUUGGAA
ensembl:rRNA 5S_rRNA 5S ribosomal RNA